UACGAAGGGGGCUAGCGUUGUUCGGAUUUACUGGGCGUAAAGCGCGUGUAGGCGGGUCGUUAAGUUGGGGGUGAAAUCCCGGAGCUCAACUCCGGAACUGCCCUCAAAACUGGCGACCUGGACCCAAGUAGAGGCAAGUGGAAUUGCGAGUGUAGAGGUGAAAUUCGUAGAUAUUCGCAGGAACACCAGUGGCGAAGGCGACUUGCUGGACUUGUGGUGACGAUGAGACGCGAAAGCGUGGGGAGCAAACAGG
rnacentral:rRNA from 1 species